UCAGAAGUUUCUUCCUUAAAUUGUAUGAGCGAAUCAGAAAGAUUUUGACAAAACUUAACUGCCUGUAUCCAGUUGAGCCUGAUCUAGUGCAGUCUCCCUGGAUCAGUUCAAUGUCUACUCUCUUUAUUGCCCCUUUAUACAUCAGUAUGGAACACGGACAUGUUUAGAUGACGAGCAUAUGGUGAUGUCUUUAUACACUGGUAUUACCAUCUUUCCCGCAAAUGACUGCAAUGGCCUCUUAACCCUAUCUUGACUUCUCUUCCCUGCCUUUUCCAAAUCUUUCUUGGUACCACACUUAUGUCAUCCUAUUAUACCUGUGGAAAUAGGUAUAUACCUCAGCAAAAAGUGAGCUGCAAAUUCCUCUCAUCCCUGGACACAUCAUUUUUUGCAAUGUGACUGUGCUGCCUCCGCCAUCAAAAGGUAGUCUAUUUCUUCACUUCCCUGGGUCUGGGCUGGCUUAAUGACUUGCUCUAACCAACAGAUGUCAGGUGAAGUGACAACAUGGACUUCUGAACCGAGGCCUCCAAGACCACAUGGAAUUGCCUUCUAGGCACAGGAGGAUGAAAGUGUCUGAAGCCCUCUCUACUGAGCCACCUAGACCAACUGGUGAACAGCAUCACCACCUGGUCGACAUAGGAGAAAGGCAAUCUUAGUUCACUCAAACCCAUCAAGCCUGCAGGUGACUACGAAGCGGGAGUCACUCCAAGCAAAUCCAGUGAAGAAGCCCAAGAUGACCUAAUCCAAAGAAUUGUCAUUAAUGGUUGUGGUUUUAAAGCCACUAAAUUUGGGGAUCUAAUCCUGGAUUUCACACUGCAAUUCGUUCUCAUGUUUCCUUGUGCUCUUCCAAUCUGAGAUACAACCGUGUGCAUAAACAGACUAGUCACCUCCUGAGACUGCAGCCUUGAGAAUUCUUCAGGUCCAGAAGUUGAAUCUUGACUAGUCAACCUGACCAGGAUCAUUCAAUGACUAAAGAUAGGAACGAACUACAUGGACCAAUUAUGGCCAAUGAGGUAUGAGAGGAAACACGGGGAGGGUUUAUGGACUUUCCUUCAUUCUUCUAGGGACAUAUAUCAAAACAUUACUGUUUCCAGUUUGAGGGCACUGUUGUGUAAGCAUGUGGUACUUAGCAUCAUAGCCAUCCUGAGACCACACAUGGUCAAUCUUAUGACCCCAAACUAUCACCCUGGGAAGAGCAGAGCAUAUGAAUGUAACGAGCCCACCAUGUCUUUGGUGAUAUUAAACUGCUAAAAUAAGCACACAAUCUCUGUACUACCUAUCAUGUGCAAUAAUAAACCACUUACCAUCAAGUUAUCAUUACACCAUGUACAAUGUUAACCUAUUAAAAAUGAAAUAUUUCGAUCUUGAUUUUUACGGAUGAGCUGAGGAACUAAGAACUAUAACUGUAAACUGUUGGCUCUAUUGUACUUCUAAGCAGAAAAAUUAUUUUAAAAUAUAUUUUAAUUGAAAACUAGUACUCCAUAGUUGGGAUGUACGGCCAUAAGAUUCAUAGUAAUCUCUGCAGUAAUGCUGAAGACAUAUGAGAAGUAUAUUUCACUCUAAGCUCUGAGUAUUUUAAUAACUUAGAAGUUUACUACUUCUUGCCUAUAUCCUUUGUAUUUAUCUGGUUAGUAAAAUGCUCCAUCAAAAAUAAAUUCUUUAUCAAAAAUCUUUUUAAAUAUAAACACAAAGAUGAAGUACAUAAAAAGUUUUAAAACAAAUAAAUGAUUACACCUAAAGGCUUUGUUUUUCUUCCUCCUAAUACUGAAAUGCCAGUAGGAAAAACAAUUUUACGGCUUCUUUAGAUGAAAUAACUUUUCCACAAAAAUUAUGAAAAUUUUCUCAGCACUAAAUUAAAUAGUUGAAUACAUGCAAUCACUACGGGGUUGGACAAAGCAUUGAUUAAAUAUUUGUAAGAUAACUGCUUUUAAGUCUUCAAACUCUAUAAUUUACCAACCACCACCCAACUUAAAGCAAACCAAGAUGCCAAAGACUACUUUUGUAAAUAUUCCUAUCUCUAUCAACCUUAUCUAAGAAUGAAAAUAUUCAAAUCCAAGUGGUUAAUUCACUCAGCAUGUAUAUGAUGAGCUCUAGUAUGUCUGCUAGAUGUUGGGAACAAUGGUAUCAAUAGAUACUAUCCUGUACCCGUUUAAUGAAAUAUAAAUUUUUAAAUGGAAAUGAACACUAUAAAGAACAAGGACACAGCUCAGGGACACAGCUCAGAGACAGUCAUUACAAAAGAUCUAAGCUGGGGCACCUGGAUGGCUCAGUCGGUUGAGCACCUGACUUCAGCUCAGGUCAUGAUCUCCCGGUUCGUGGAUUCGAGCUCCGCGUCAGGCUUUGUGCUGACAGCUCAGAGUCUGGAGCCUGCUUCAGAUUCUGUGUCUUCCUCUCUCUCUUUCUCUCUCUCUGCCCCUCCCCUGCUCACACUCUGUCAAUCUCUCUCUCAAAAAAUAAAUAAAACAUUAAAAAAAAGAUCUA